UACAGAGGUCUCAAGCGUUGUUCGGAUUCAUUGGGCGUAAAGGGUGCGUAGGCGGCGCGGUAAGUCGGGUGUGAAAUCUUGGAGCUUAACUCCGAAACUGCAUUCGAUACUGCCGUGCUUGAGGACUGGAGAGGAGACUGGAAUUUACGGUGUAGCGGUGAAAUGCGUAGAUAUCGUAAGGAAGACCAGUGGCGAAGGCGGGUCUCUGGACAGUUCCUGACACUGAGACACGAAGGCCAGGGGGAGCAAACGGG
rnacentral:rRNA from 1 species